GUUUCUAUCUACAAUGUUCAAUCCCAACUUUGAUGAGUCCUAGUACGCAAGGAAUGGUCUCAGCGAUGCUCGACUAUAUAGGCCCCAUCGACGUAAUCAACUUCUGGCUGCUGCAA
rnacentral:rRNA from 1 species